UGACGCUCAUGUACGAAAGCGUGGGUAGCAAACAGGAUUAGAUACCCUGGUAGUCCACGCCGUAAACGAUGUCUACUAGCAGCUUGUCUCUUAAGAGAUGUUUUGCGCAGCUAACGCAUUAAGUAGACCGCCUGGGGAGUACGGCCGCAAGGUUAAAACUCAAAUGAAUUGACGGGGGCCCGCACAAGCGGUGGAGCAUGUGGUUUAAUUCGAUGCAACGCGAAGAACCUUACCAUCCCUUGACAUCCAGAGAAUUUACUAGAGAUAGUUUAGUGCCUUCGGGAACUCUGAGACAGGUGCUGCAUGGCUGUCGUCAGCUCGUGUUGUGAAAUGUUGGGUUAAGUCCCGCAACGAGCGCAACCCUUAUCCUUAGUUGCUAACAGUUAGGCUGAGAACUCUAAGGAGACUGCCGGUGACAAACCGGAGGAAGGUGGGGACGACGUCAAGUCAUCAUGGCCCUUACGGGAUGGGCUACACACGUGCUACAAUGGCAAGUACAGAGGGUUGCGAACUCGCGAGAGUAAGCGGAUCCCAUAAAGCUUGUCGUAGUCCGGAUUGGGGUCUGCAACUCGACUCCAUGAAGUCGGAAUCGCUAGUAAUCGUGGAUCAGAAUGCCACGGUGAAUACGUUCCCGGGCCUUGUACACAC
rnacentral:rRNA from 1 species